GAUGAACGCUGGCGGCGUGCCUAAUACAUGCAAGUCGAGCGAACAGACGAGGAGCUUGCUCCUCUGACGUUAGCGGCGGACGGGUGAGUAACACGUGGAUAACCUACCUAUAAGACUGGGAUAACUUCGGGAAACCGGAGCUAAUACCGGAUAAUAUAUUGAACCGCAUGGUUCAAUAGUGAAAGACGGUUUUGCUGUCACUUAUAGAUGGAUCCGCGCUGCAUUAGCUAGUUGGUAAGGUAACGGCUUACCAAGGCAACGAUGCGUAGCCGACCUGAGAGGGUGAGCGGCCACACUGGAACUGAGACACGGUCCAGACUCCUACGGGAGGCAGCAGUAGGGAAUCUUCCGCAAUGGGCGAAAGCUUGACGGAGCAACGCCGCGUGAUUGAUGAAGGUCUUCGGAUCGUAAAACUCUGUUAUUAGGGAAGAACAAAUGUGUAAGUAACUAUGCACGUCUUGACGGUACCUAAUCAGAAAGCCACGGCUAACUACGUG
rnacentral:rRNA from 1 species